rnacentral:lncRNA from 1 species
GAGUCCUCGCCAACCUGCUGCAGGCGGGCGGGCACCCGCACCCCGCUCGCAGCCGGGGCCGGGCUGGGGCUGCCGCCUCCGCCAUCCCCGCACUUGCCCCAGCCCGGUAGGGCGGCCAGCCUUCGGCCGCCUCCUCCUCCUCCUCACCGGCAGCCACCGCCGCCGCCCGGCAGAAAGACAGAGCGGGGGAGCCAUGGCCGAGGGGGGCGAGGGCGAGGACGAGAUCCAGUUCCUGCGAACUAAUUACAGUUUGACAAUUGGAACCACAUCUAGAACUUGGGAAGCGCGCUUUGUUGUACUGGAUCUCAUUUUCCCUGCUGAAGGAAUAAUAAAAUGUUUAAGUGAAAGAAAUGCAUAAAACAGGCAGGUUGGUAUAUCAGGUUGUUAAAGGCUAUUUCAUUAGUAAAAGUGCAGAAG